GCUGGGCAUGGUAGCACAUGCCUGUAAUCCCAGUGGCUCAGGAGGCUGAGGCAGGAGGAUCGUGAAUUCAAAGCCAGCCUCAGAAACUUAGUGAGGCUCUAAGCAACUCAGUGAGACCCUGUCUCUA
rnacentral:sRNA from 1 species